GUUCCUGUAGCACAAUGGAUAGUGCGUUGGACUUCUAAUUCAAAAGUCGUGGGUUCAAAUCUCACUUGGGAUG